AAAAUGCAACGACAUAGAAUUUAUUGUGAAGUUUUGGUAAAACAGACAGGAAACGUCCUUUUUGAGUUUGUAUACUCCAGUAAACAAUCGAUUAUUUUAUUAAUCACGAUUAAUUGUUUCAGCCCAAAUUCUAUAUAUAUUUUGUACAGUUUUGGCUUAGUUAUUGCUGUACAUAUGUUGCUUUUUCAGCAAAUAAUUUAUUUUUGAGUCUGUGUACUCCAGUUAAUUAAUCAAAUGCUGAAUUAGCUGACAAUUACUUCAAAAACGAUUAAUCACAAUCGUUUCAACCCAAAUUUAAUACAAAACGUACAUAUAUUUUGCACAAUUCUUACUUGAUUAUUGCUCUGAAUGUUGUUUUUUUGACAAAUAGCUUAUUUCUGAGUCUCUAUACACAACUUAACGAUUAAUCAAUCACUAAAUUAGUUCACAAUUAUUUUUUUUAAAAAUUGAUUAAUCAUGAUUAACUGUUCCAGCGGUAAGUAGGGUAACGGUUUAAAUCAAGGAUAUUCAAAGGACUGAUUUUAUGUGACCCUCCAAAAAUAAAUUAGGACAAAACUUAAAUUCUUAAUUCUCUUACAAAAAUGUUAGACGUAACACAAGGUGAUCAUCUUUUCAAAGUUUUCUGGUUUACUUCUGUUUUUAUGGUAAAUAGAGCCACAUAUUCCCAUUGCCUUGUUCUCUAAAGUGCACAAAUUGCUGUUUUAAAACUUGGCUAGAUACAUAAAGUGUUUUCAAACAAUCCUGUUUUUAUUGCUGAGAAUAGACAAAAUAUUUCUUCAGUUUUCUUCAUACAAAAUCGAUAUAAUAAGCAAACUGGUUGCCUUUCAUUUAACAAGGAAAACAUGCAGAAACCAUUUGAAGUUUUGGAUCUAGAAUCCCGUUCCUACAAAAUAUCUGACUAAUUGUUAAAAUAGUUCAGUUUAGCUUAUUGUUGAGUGGAUUGGGAGGGGUGGAAACAACAUUUUAGUGAUUUUAGCUUCUGAAAAUCAUAUUUUUGACUGUCAAUAAAAGUGUGCACACCCUGGUUUAAAUAAUUCAUGUUUUCUCUGUUAUCCUCUGUUAUGUUAUCCUGUGAAUGAGGAUAAAACCUACAAGACCAUGAAUCGGGUGUGGAUGCCAUUUUUCUCCAAAACAAAAGUCUACUGGCUAAAAUAUGCAUCAGCAUUAGCAAAGAGAAAAAACUGAAGAAUAAAUAUGUUUUAAAUAAAAUACAAAAAUAUCAGUUUGGGUGUAUGACAUCACAAGAGAAACAAGGUGAAGUAUUUAAGCUUUAAUUUAGUUGCUUGUGGUAAUGUUUGCUUAAGAUCUUUGAUAAUGAAAUCUGGACCAACUUGUUUGUCAUGACCUCUUUUCCAAACAAAUGAGCUUUGUUAUUGUUGUGUUUUUCCCUCACAUGAGGAUAAAAUGUUUUUUUAAGCCAUUAAAUGAAGAUUGUCCUUAAAAUAUGUUAACAUAGAGGAGUAAACGAUCAUAAAAACAAGUGAAUUAGUGAAGUACAGAAAGAACAUAUGGGGAUCAUAAUGAAGCGGUUUCCAGCUUGAUCAGAUAAAACCCUAAAAUCUGGUCUUUUUCCUGCAACCCUCUUUGGUGAGGAGUGAGAUAAUAGGGAACAUAAUUUCCUACAUGGCUGCUUCUAUUAAGGCUUUGAGAGAGAGAGAGCAGGAAUUACAGAGGAAUAACAUGAAGGUGAAACGCAUAACAUCUAAAGGGAGCAAUUUAUCAACUUGUUGAUGUUACAAAUAUUUAACUGCAGAUGCAUCCUUUGCUACUAAUAACCAAACAUACACUAAAUGAAUGUUGUUAUUGCAUAACAGACAAUAAAAUGUUUAUUUUCUUAUUAAUACUGGUGACAAACUGUGUCUUCAGUACGGUUGAAAAAAUUAAUCAUGAUUAAUGGAUACAUUAUGUAAUGUUCCCAUCAUGUGCAAGUGGAAGUUUGUUUUUUGGGAAAGUUUAUUUUAUCCAGGCUACAUCAAAGCUUGAAACAAAAUAAGAAAAUGAAUAGAAAAUUUUUAUUUUAAAGGGUUGAAACGAUUAAUUGUGAUUAAUCGAUUCCUGGAAUAGUUGUCAACUGAUUAAGUAAUCAAUUAAUUGCUGACUGGCCUGGUUAUUUUCUUAUUUAAACAUUUUAAUGUUGGUUUUAAUGCAUUUCUAAUAAUGCAGUGGUUAAACAAAUUUUUUUAACGUGAUUAAUCCAUUAAUUAGUUGAAUAGUUGAUUUGCUUAGUAAAAUAAACGUUAGUUGCAGAUCUAAUUUGAAGUGAGUUUGACUUUGGUCUGGCUUGUGGUUUCUAUAAUCUCCAAACAUUUCCUACGAGAGGGCAAAGAAGAGGCAGAAAGGACACGCAGAAGAAGACAUGCAGAAAUCAGCAGCAGAAGAAAGACUCCUGAAGAAACACCGCUUGCUGCUAUGGCAACAUUACGUACUCCGGCGGCGAGUGCGCGCACGCCGGGCUCCGUGUCGAUUUGGACACACAGGCUGCAUUAGCCCGCAGCUGCUCAUGCUGCUGCAGCCUUCGGGGGGGCAACGUUUAAAGGACGUGAUGCUGUUUCUCCGUGAAACGUCACUGCAGCAACAGGAAGGUUAAGAAAAGCCACCUGCUAGCUAGUUUAAAAAAGCAGGGAUCUGUUACAGCCCAGCUAGCAGCACAACAACAGGUCACCUGAGCCCCGAAUCCUCUUCCCAGCUGGGAGGCCAUGUGACUCUGUGGGUCUCUGGGGCCUGGGCACCACACAUGAGACCACCAGAGACCGGGGAAACGGCAACCCGGGUUAGUCCCACAUGGUAAAGGAAAGGAAAAAGAAGAAGAGGAAGAGGAGCAGCUUCCUGCUUACAGGCCGGCUUUUUGAUACCAUGAGCUUCUUAGAGUGCAGCUAAGCUUAAAGGAGGCUGUGUCAUCUGAGACUGCCAUGAAUCCACACCACUCGCUCUGUCGCUAUGACAAGAGAGGCACCACGCCUCCGCUCUCCGUCUUUGUUAACACAACAAACAAAACACACACACAAACACACACGGCAUCAUGCACAUGGCCAUCAGUCUCACUUUAAUCCAUCCAGGUACUCAUCACUACCUGUGCUGCCACAAACCGAAAGGAGCAACAAGAGUUCAAAGAGAGAGAGAAAUGUUUUGGGAUGUUGUGUGUUAAAGGGCAGAGCAUCAUCAGACACUAAGCAGUAAUCACUUAACUUUAUUAAAUGACUUGAAACUGA